rnacentral:rRNA from 1 species
GAUGAACGCUGGCGGCGUGCCUAAUACAUGCAAGUCGAGCGAAUGGAUUAAGAGCUUGCUCUUAUGAAGUUAGCGGCGGACGGGUGAAUAACACGUGGGUAACCUGCCCAUAAGACUGGGAUAACUCCGGGAAACCGGGGCUAAUACCGGAUAACAUUUUGAACCGCAUGGUUCGAAAUUGAAAGGCGGCUUCGGCUGUCACUUAUGGAUGGACCCGCGUCGCAUUAGCUAGUUGGUGAGGUAACGGCUCACCAAGGCAACGAUGCGUAGCCGACCUGAGAGGGUGAUCGGCCACACUGGGACUGAGACACGGCCCAGACUCCUACGGGAGGCAGCAGUUGGGAAUCUUCCGCAAUGGACGAAAGUCUGACGGAGCAACGCCGCGUGAGUGAUGAAGGCUUUCGGGUCGUAAAACUCUGUUGUUAGGGAAGAACAAGUGCUAGUUGAAUAAGCUGGCACCUUGACGGUACCUAACCAGAAAGCCACGGCUAACUACGUGCCAGCAGCCGCGGUAA